rnacentral:tRNA from 1 species
GGACUAGUAGUUCAGGUGGUUAGAAUAAUGGAUUGUCGAUCCAUAGGUCACGGGUUCGAAUCCCGUCUGGUCCG